rnacentral:rRNA from 1 species
AUUGAACGCUGGCGGCAGGCCUAACACAUGCAAGUCGAACGAGUGGCGGACGGGUGAGUAAUGUCUGGGAAACUGCCCGAUGGAGGGGGAUAACUACUGGAAACGGUAGAUAAUACCGCAUACCAUCGGAUGUGCCCAGAUGGGGUUAGCUAGUAGGUGGGGUAACGGCUCACCUGGGCGACGAUCCCUAGCUGGUCUGAGAGGAUGACCAGCCACACUGGAACUGAGACACGUUCCAGACUCCUACGUGAGGCAGCAGUGGGGAAUAGUGCACAAUGGGCGCGAGCCUGAUGCGGCCAUACCGCGUGUAUGAAGAAGGCCUUCGGGUUGUAAAGUACUUUCAGCGGGGAGGCGUUACCCGCAGAAGAAGCACCGGCUAACUCCGUGCCAGCAGCCGCGGUAAUAC